AUAAAAAUAACACUGGCUCGGUUACCCUCCCUGCAACCAUUAAUUUCCAAAAUAAACAACCUUUUUCAUUCUUAUUUUGUCUCUCUUCCUUCUUUUCUUUCUCUAAUAAACAAAACUUGUGUGGAGUCAACUUGUGAUUGAGGUUGAUGUUGCACAUUGAUUGAUAGGGUCUAUUUUAUUUACUAUUUAUCUCUUUUCUUCAUUUUGAUGGAAGUGUGGUGAAAAUAAGAUGGAGAAGUGGAGAAUGAUGAACAAAGAUGAUGUUAGGCUUAGCGAGUGAGUGGAAGGUGAGCAAGAGAGAUGAGUGUAGCUAUUUGAAAAUGAAAAUAAUGGUUUAAUUCACAUGAUUUGUUAGAAUAGUGUUGAGAGAGAAUUUUAAUUUGAGAAGGUUUUUGUUUUAAUGGGUCUGGAUGAUUGCAUUUUUCCCUAAUUUGAAUUAAUGCAUAUUUUCCAAUUUUUGAAAAGGAAAGGAAUAUAAAAAUAUUUGAUUUUGAGUGUUUAGAUCUGACAUUUGGAAUUUUGUGGUUGUUUUGGUGAGUAUGAUGCUUGAUGGAGGUUUGAUAGAGGCAGCAUCAAGAAGAUGAAGAUUGAAGUUGGUUCAACUUUACCCAAAAAUUGAUGAACUUAUUCUAUUCAUUUUGGUCCUUAGACAAUGUGGACAUCCCACUAAGCAUUCGAUGUGGCAAAAAAUUAGGAUACAUCACCAGAGUUAACACUAAGUUAACGUUUUGG
rnacentral:lncRNA from 1 species